GUGAGUGAUGAAGGCCUUCGGGUUGUAAAGCUCUGUCUUCUGGGACGAUAAUGACGGUACCAGAGGAGGAAGCCACGGCUAACUACGUGCCAGCAGCCGCGGUAAUACGUAGGUGGCAAGCGUUGUCCGGAUUUACUGGGCGUAAAGGAUGCGUAGGCGGAUACUUAAGUCAGAUGUGAAAAUCCCGGGCUUAACUUGGGAACUGCAUUUGAAACUGGGUAUCUAGAGUGCGGGAGAGGAAAGUGGAAUUCCUAGUGUAGCGGUGAAAUGCGUAGAGAUUAGGAAGAACACCAGUGGCGAAGGCGACUUUCUGGACCGUAACUGACGCUGAGGCAUGAAAGCGUGGGGAGCAAACAGGAUUAGAUACCCU
rnacentral:rRNA from 1 species